UACCAGCACCCCGAGUGGUCGGGACGAUUAUUGGGCCUAAAGCAUCCGUAGCCGGUUCUACAAGUCUUCCGUUAAAUCCACCUGCUUAACAGAUGGGCUGCGGAGGAUACUAUAGAGCUAGGAGGCGGGAGAGGCAAGCGGUACUUAGUGGGUAGGGGUAAAAUCCGUUGAUCCAUUGAAAACCACCAGUGGCGAAGGCGGCUUGCCAGAACGCACUCGACGGUGAGGGAUGAAAGCUGGGGGAGCAAACCGG
rnacentral:rRNA from 1 species